rnacentral:rRNA from 1 species
AUGCAUCGGAACGUGCCCUGAAGUGGGGGAUAACGCAGCGAAAGCUACGCUAAUACCGCAUAUUCUGUGAGCAGGAAAGCAGGGGAUCGCAAGACCUUGCGCUUUGGGAGCGGCCGAUGUCGGAUUAGCUAGUUGGUGGGGUAAAGGCCUACCAAGGCGACGAUCCGUAGCGGGUCUGAGAGGAUGAUCCGCCACACUGGGACUGGGACACGGCCCAGACUCCUACGGGAGGCAGCAGUGGGGAAUUUUGGACAAUGGGCGGAAGCCUGAUCCAGCCAUGCCGCGUGAGUGAAGAAGGCCUUCGGGUUGUAAAGCUCUUUCGGCGGGGAAGAAAUUGCUUGGGUUAAUACCCUGAGUAGAUGACGGUACCCGAAUAAGAAGCACCGGCUAACUACGUGCCAGCAGCCGCGGUAAUACGUAGGGUGCGAGCGUUAAUCGGAAUUACUGGGCGUAAAGCGUGCGCAGGCGGUUUUGUAAGUCAGAUGUGAAAUCCCCGGGCUCAAC